rnacentral:lncRNA from 1 species
CGCCAUUCACGAGCUCAAUGCAGUCCGAGUCUAUUAAAUUUAAUAUAAGCUGGGUUAAUAAAGUGGGAGCAAGUUAGGCCACCAUUAGGGGGAUUAGGGAUAUAGGUCAAGGACAGUUUUCUCGCAACAAAGAUGGUUGUUUCCCUUACUUUUCUUGGUACUUACCAUGACCUUAAGCGCCACAAGAAGGAUUUAAAAUAAAUAGUGUUCAAGGGAUAGACAGCUCACGUACUCUAUUGUUGACGAGGGAAGGUUUGUAUGUAAUUAUUGUUGGAAAAGAGGAUAUGUCCGCCUGUGGUUUGGCCUUUGGAGUGUGAUCUGGGAUGCUCUACCUCCCUUUCAGGGGUUCCAAUGGGCCCCUACCAUUGUUUUGAAACAAAAUGCACAAGGUUUGAAGGGUCCUCGACAAAAAGAAUGAUUUGAAGUUGGUGGAACUUCCUACUUUUGGCUAAAAUCUAGGCGUGGACUGUGGGAUUAUUUUUUUCCCUCUCUGGUAGAAAGGCCCUGGGGAUUGGUUAAGGGUUAAAAGUAUCAUCUUUGACGGUAACAUGCUGCCGGGCUGUCGUCUGUUUUAAUUAGCACAAA